AUAUACAAAGAGAAUAAUAUUUCUGGAGUAAUUCAGUAAUUAAAAACCAAAUGCAGUUCAUGGUUGAACGAACAAUGCUCACACACUAUAAAAUAUUGAAUAUCGGCCUUCAUCGUUGUUUCUCAUUACAACGGCUAUAAUGUGUGCCACUUUCUUGCUACAUGUUUCUACGAUACGCGAUCAUUCAUACUUCGAUUCGCCUAUACUUAUUCACAACCGUUUCACGCUAUAAUAAUUCUUAAUUCGAUCUGAAGCAAAUAUCACGCAAUUAUUCAAUGAGCCUAUUUUCGAACAACGAGAGUAUUUUCUAAUGCUAGAAAGUAGGUUGAAAAGUAUAAAAUCCACUGGCAAUUUCUAUUAGAAGAAAAAAGAAAAGAUAUGGAACAAGGUAAAAUGUAAUUGAAAUUUUCGCUUCGAUUAUAGCUGAUUCCUGUUAUUAUCGCGGAUCUUUAUCUUAGCAGAGCGUUUGUUACUCACUGAAAAUUACGAUCGUGAAUUAUUCUAUUUCUCUAACUGAAUAGCUGUGUGAAAAAGAAAGAGAAAAAAUUAAACACCAAGUAAUUCUUACUUUUGUAGUUUCUUUCGGCGUAACAGGGACGAUAAUUUGCAUAGACGCAAAGAAUAUGCAAGAAAUUUCAACGCAAAUCUUUUACCCACGCUAGAUUAUUACGGAUAAUGACACCACGUUCUUAACUUAUUUCGCACUUGAGAGAAGUAAAAACCUUCGUACGAAUGCUUUUCAACUUCUCAGGUACGUUACAUUCUAAGAAAUACGUAAUACAAUUUCGAUUUCCAUUAUAAUUAUAACUAAAAACGAGCCGAAUAAACGCAGACAGUGUAACUGUAUCCUGUCUGUAGGUAAUCUUGUUCAAUGAUAAUAACGUUCCCUGAUACAAGAUUAAAUUAAACUUGCCAAAUCAGAUUCAGACAUGUCGAAAUCGUAAAAAGCAUUGCGAAAACCUUCCUUGUUCUCUCAAAGAUAUUAAUUUGUACGUCAGCAAUUACGAUAUCGUAAGCGAUCGACAUCCAACAUACACUACAUCACAUUCAUUUAAGUUUAGAUUAAUUGUACCGUAUCGUACUGCAAUUGCACUGUGUACGAUAUAUGUUCAGAAUGUAUAGAUGCUAUUAUUUCAAUUCGCAAUUUUUCUUACUGUAUUUUACACUUACUUUUUGAAAAUAUUCUUGGUAUAUAUUUCGCCAAUCGCGAUCUCUAAUGACCACAAGAAUGGUCGACGCAAUCUUAAAUGAAAUAAAUAAAAAAUAUAUAUAUAUUGCAGGACGAUUGGAACGCGAGGGAACACGUGUGGACGUAAAGAAAGAUGUUUCGCCAGUAUUGCACCUCAGUUUGCUAAUAAAAAAAAGAGGAAGAAUAAUCAGCAAUGCUGUCUCACGGUGUAAAAGGUGCAAAGAUGUAAAAGGAAGGCGGGUUAUUGUUCUGAUACAAAGUGGCUUUUCGAGAGAGAUAAAUACCAGGGAAAAUAGUCAAGAAUGAAGAAAGUUCAACGAUGCAAAGGAAUAUAAAGAGGUGUAAUAUAUUCGACGUCUAACAAAAAGAGAUUUCUUACGUUAAAUAUUAUUAAAUAAUAGAAAUUCAAUCGACCGAAUAACAUAAACCGAAUGAUGCUAAUUAAACCGUAAUUGAAUUUUUGAGACUUAAUGAACGAUGAAUAUAGUAAGAAAAAGUAUAAGAUUUAAAAGAAACAUAGUACAAGAUAAGUACAUGGUAUUUUACAAAUUUAAAGGAAACAUAGUAAAAUAUAGUACUUUACAAAUAUUUUUUUCUCUAGAGUAUCUCAUAUCUCCCGAUAGAAGCUUGUAUAAUACACGACGACCUUGGAAAAUAGAAAUCUGAAAAAUCAUGACCACACGGAUUAGAAAAUAAAGAUUAGAAGAGAGAUACUGUUACAUAACUGGCAAGUACCUGUUUUUAUAAUAUUUAACAUAUUUCUGAAAUACUUUGUUGCAAAACAAAACAGAGCGCACGCACCCCCUUUCAUCUAAUCUGGCAUGGAUCUUUAGAAAGUUUCUAAACCGCCGAAUAAUCUCUUAGGCUCGUUUGGUCCAGCAUCUCAUUAAUAUUUUCAGCGAACACUCGGAGAACAAGACUGGAGUCGAGUCAAACAAGCAGCUCGUCCACACUGUUGACGUAGAUUUCACUUUUGAGAAUCUCGUCCGGUGUUUGACCAUCUGACACGUGUCAUUUAUGGCGUGUACGUGCACCAUAAAUUAAGCGGUUGUAGCUAAGGAAAUGUUUUCCCACGAUGUUAUGACGGAUAAAGAAUAGUAGCGGUGUAAUUUUUGGUUGUUACGGUAAUUAAAGAUCGUGUUCGAUGUCUUAAUUACGCGAUAAGAAACUACUUGCGAAAAUGAAUGUUACAGUAACGAAAUGUACUACUCUCCUCUUGAUAAUUUGUCGUGCAAAAAGAGCUGGAUCGUACAGGUAUUCUUUGAUUUUAAACGAUUACAAAAUAUUAUAAGUAUACUAUAAAAAGUGUUAUGAAAUGUUAGAAUUAUUACGUAGGAAUUUAUUUUA